CCGGACACUCCCACAGCGCAGACUUUGCUAUCCGCACAGAGCUUUUCUGGUGUGUCUCAUGCAAAAGAGACAAUACAGCUCACGAGCGGAGGUCACGGCAAGAGUUCCCUGAGUUGACACGUAUGAACCAUAAAGUCAGUUUGGACUGAGGAGCAGUCGGACCCACACGGACAUCAGUUCAGACUGAAAUCCAGUUCAGAGGGCACACGCAACAUGUUCAAGCUUGCACGGAGGCCUUUCAGUCAAUGUAAGAAGAUGGUUAAGGCGAGAGAUUGCUAUUCUGUCUUUUACAUCGCUACAAAGGGAGGACUAAAUGCCAAAAAAGAGAAAAGUUUUUUAAAAAAUGACGCUUUAAAACAGUUCGAGUAUCUUUGUGUUUACGGGGAGAAGGGAAUAACUGCGGCCGAGCCUCUGAAAAGAGACGGUCGCUUCGCCGAUGACCUGGGCUACUUUGAGCUGGUUAACAUCAACGACGAACGUAAGACUGAGUGCACAGACAUAAUUGAUUGUCUGGACAAUAAGAAAUUCCAGAUAUGUUUUCCAC